rnacentral:rRNA from 1 species
UACGUAGGGGGCAAGCGUUAUCCGGAUUUACUGGAUGUAAAGGGAGCGUAGACGGAGGAGCAAGUCUGAUGUGAAAGGCGGGGGCUCAACCCCUGGACUGCAUUGGAAACUGUUCAUCUGGAGUGCCGGAGAGGUAAGCGGAAUUCCUAGUGUAGCGGUGAAAUGCGUAGAUAUUAGGAGGAACACCAGUGGCGAAGGCGGCUUACUGGACGGUAACUGACGUUGAGGCUCGAAAGCGUGGGGAGCAAACAGG